CCAGCUUGCUGGGGCAAAAGUGGCGCACGGGUGCGUAACGCGUAUGCAACCUACCUUAAUCAGGGGGAUAGCCCGAAGAAAUUCGGAUUAACACCGCAUAAAAUCACAGCACAGCAUUGUGUAAUGAUCAAAUAUUUAUAGGAUUAAGAUGGGCAUGCGUGACAUUAGUUAGUUGGCGGGGUAACGGCCCACCAAGACCACGAUGUCUAGGGGAUCUGAGAGGAUGACCCCCCACACUGGUACUGAGACACGGACCAGACUCCUACGGGAGGCAGCAGUAAGGAAUAUUGGUCAAUGGAGGCAACUCUGAACCAGCCAUGCCGCGUGCAGGAAGACAGCCCUCUGGGUCGUAAACUGCUUUUAUUCGGGAAUAAACCWCRUUACGUGUAA
rnacentral:rRNA from 1 species